AUGAACGCUUAGCGGCAGGCUUAAUUACAUGCAAGUCCGUGGGGCAGCGCGGGUAGCAAUACCUGGCGGCGACCGGCAAAACGGGUGCGGAAACACGUACGCAACCUUCCUUUAAGCGGUGGAAUAGCCCAGGGAUACUUGGAUUUAAUACACCAUUAAGACAGUGGAGUGGCAUCACUCAGCUGUUAAUUAAAGCUCCGGCCACUUAAAGAUGGGCGUGCGGCUGAUUAGGUAGUUGGCGGGGUAACGGCCCCACCAAGCCCGACGAUCAAGUAACUGGUGUGAGAGCACGACCAGUCACACGGGGCCACUGAGACACGGGCCCGACUCCUACGGGAGGCAGCAGUAAGGAAUAUUGGUCAAUGGACGCAAGUCUGAACCAGCCAUGGCCGCGUGGAGGAUGAAGGGCCCUCUGGGGUUGUAAACUUCUUUUAUAUCUGGGGAAGGAAAACCGGAACUUUUCCAAGGCCGUUGAACGGUACCAGAUGAAAUAUAAGCACCGGCUAACUCCGUGCCAGCAGCCGCGGUAAUACGGAGGGUGCAAGCGUUAUCCCGGAUUCACUGGGUUUAAAAGGUGUGCGUAGGUGGGCAGGUAAGUCAGUGGUGAAAUCUCCGGGGCUUAAACCCGGAAACUGCCGUUGAUACUAUCUGUCUUGAAUGUAGUGGAGGGUGAGCGGAAUAUGUCAUGUAGCGGUGAAAUGCUUAGAUAUGACAUAGAACACCCAUUGCGAAGGCAGCUCGCUACACUAUUAUUGACACUGAGGCACGAAAAGCGUGGGGAUCAAACAGGAAUUAGAUACCCUGGUAGUCCACGGCCCUAAACGAUGGAUACUCGACAUCAGCCGAUACACAGUUGGUGUCUGAGCGAAGGCAUUAAGUAUCCCACCUGGGAAGUACCGACCGCAAGGUUGGAACUCAAAGGAAUUGACGGGGGGUCCGCACAAGCGGUGGAGCAUGUGGUUUAAUUCGAUGAUACGCGAGGAAACCUUACCUGGGCUAGAAUGCAGAUAGACUGCCGGGUGAAAGCUGGUUUUGUAGCAAUACACUGUCUGUAAGGUGCUGCAUGGCUUGUCGUCAGCCUCGUGCCGUGAGGUGUUGGGUUUAAGUCCCGCAACGAGCGCAACCCCCCAUCACUAGUUGCCAUCAGGUAAAGCUGGGAACUCUAGUGAAACUGCCGUCGUAAGACCGCGAGGGAAGGAGGGGAUGAUGUCAAGUCAUUCAUGGCCCUUUAUUAUGCCCAGGGCUACACACGUGCUACAAUGGGAAGAAGACAAAGGGCAGCGAACCAACGGCCGACGUGAGGCUAAUCCCAAAAAACUCUUUCUCUCAGUUCAGAUUGCAGUCUGCAACUCGACUGCAUGAAGCUGGAAAUCGCUAGUAAUCGUAUAUCAGCAAUGAUUACGGUGAAUACGUUCCCGGACCUUGUACACACCGGCCCGUCAAGCCCAUGGAAGCCGGGUGUACCUAAAGUCGGUAACCGCAAGGAGCCGCCUAGGGUUAAAACUGGUGACUGGGGGC
rnacentral:rRNA from 1 species